UUAUGACUCAAAUGAGUUUUAAACGCUUUGGUCUUCCCACUGCAAUGCCUGAGGGCCUAGAGAUAUUGGUGGGUCUGGAGAUGUUGCUGCUGCAGGACUAUCCAGUGGACCCUGAUGUACACUCGUCUAGUCCAGGUAGGAAAGAAAACUUCUUAAAUCAAAAAUACUCAGGCAGAAAUAAAAUGGAAAUUUUCUAAGCUAGCAGCUUUGGGAAGGGAAAGUAUUCUUGAGGGACCUUGUUUUUUUGUUUAUGUUUUCCCAGAUGGUUUUAAAGGAGUAAAAAAUCAUUAGAGUUACAAGGGAGAGUGGGAAACAAGACAAGGUUGCUGAUCAAAGGGGAGAGCAAAAUGGGAAAAUGUAGCAUUUCAUACACAGCCACAGAUACACUGAAAAUGUGUCCACAGCAUGAGGUCACUGGUAACUGCGGAGCAUGCGCCAGAGAUCGAUUGUUAAAUGAGAGACAAUAUGGAUGGAGCUGAGUUGUUUACCUGCCUCAAAAGGACAGAAUUCUGAGAGGUGGAAUGAAAAAAAAAAUUAUUCAAUUGACUAUAAAAUGAAAAUAUGAUGGCUCCAGUGCCAGUAUAGAUCAGAACUUAUUUAUGUCAUUACACUGAACUUGACCAGUCAAAAGGUUUGAAUAUGCCAGUUUACUAUUUACUUUAUUUUAAAUAAAAAUAUUGUUUUUUAAAAAAUAAAAUUGUCUUUUAUUCAAAAGCUGGGAGAUAAAGUUCUUGAUGUCUCUAAAAAACAUUUUAAAGUUUAAUUUUUAUGAUUACAGAUAGUUACUUCAGAUAGGAGAGAUUUAAGAUACCUGGAAAUAGAAAUGAAGAAUAUAAAAUGUAUGUAAUUUCAAUUCCCAUCACCUUGCAUAAGUUACAUGAUAAAGUCUUACUACAUUGUAAUUUAGACUCCUAUAGAUUAUUUAAAAGCAGAAUUUAGGAAUUUUUUUUCCCAUCAGUUUUUGAAAAUAUGAUUGAUCAAAUGAGAAUUUGGGGUUGAAGAAGGGACAGCUAUUAAAUGGAUGAUGUCCAAUUGCAACUUCCUUAAGUUUCAUUAGCUGAGGUAAAUAUGAUACAUUUAGAUCAUUUUUUAAAUCACAGUCUAUCUUAGGGAUACAUACAUAUUAUGUUGUACUGAAUUGGUAAAACCCUUUAUAUGCCUAAGCCCAAACCCCCAAUGUGACUACAUUUGGACUUAGAUAUAUAUAUAUAUAUAUAUAUACAUUUAGUUGUAGAUAGACACACAAUGUCUUUAUUUAUUUAUUUUUUUUUAUGUGGUGCUGAGGAUCGAGCCCAGUGCUUCAAAAAUGCAAGGCAAGCGCUUUGCCACUGAGCUACAGCCCCAGCCGUGGACUUAGAGCCUUUAUGGAGAUAAAUAAAGUUAAAUGAAUCAUAAGGAUGGGGUCCUAAGCCUAUAUGACUUAUGAAAGAAGAAGAGAUAUCAUAGUGCCCCACCCCCAUUUGUCUCUGCCCCCCCCAGCUCCCACACAUAUGCACACAGAGGAAAAACCACAUGUGAAUGCAGCAAGAAGAGGGCCAUCUGUAAGCUAGGAAAAGUGGCAUUUUGCUGAACUACUCUACUGACACCUGGAUCCUGGACUCCAGUCUCCAGAAUUCUAGUCUGUGGUAUUUCCUUAUGCAGCUUGAGCUGACUAAUACACACCCAUCUACAGUAUUGUAAAAGAAAGAAGACAUCCCUGGAGGUGAUGAACACCAUAUUUUAAGCUAGAGCUGAACUUCAGGGUUAAGGAAGGAGAAUAUAAAAAAGGUGAAUGCACAUGGGGAUAUAAAACAUUUCAGAGUGUUAAAAAUAAGCAUGCUCCAAUUUCUACUAAAAAUCUUUAUUUGAAAACAAAACAUACUUUAGCUUCUGUGUUUGAAAUGGUAGAAACAGAGACCUAGUGGACAAAGCAAGUAGGAGACUGUCAUCUUUGUGCAGAUGAGAAAUUAUUGAGGUUCCAACUGAGGAGAGAAGUGGACACAUUUCAAGACAUUUUGCAGGUAGAGCUGAGUUGCUGAUUGAUUGGACACAGUGAGGGCAAGAGAAGAAUAAAGGAAGUAACCAAGGUUUGGGGCCUGAGCAACUGGUUGCAUGAUUACUGAGAUGCAGACUUAAUGGCUUUUGGCCACAAAUUCUUCAGAGAGGGUUGCUGGUUUUCCAGAAUUCUUUGCAGGAAAAUGAAGCUAAAGUGAAUGUUCUUCAAAAAUACAAAUAGGUGCUAGGAUUGAGGCUCAGCGGUGGAACGCUUGCUUCACACGGGUGGGACCCGGGUUCAAUCCUCAGCCCCACAGAAAAAUAAAGGCAUUGUGUUGUGUCCAUCUACACCUAAAAAACAAAUAUUUAAAAAAAUACAAAUAAAAAGGAGAAAAAAAUCAUCAAAUGAGAUUCAUUUAUUCAUAAAAGUACUAUUUCCUACUAAUACUAUUAGUUCUAAGUUGGUCUUUCUGACGAGAAAGCAGCAGUUCUGUGUUAUUGAUUCUAUUCAGUUGUGUGUAAUAGUUACUAAUUAGUAACGUUCAGAUGAUGACUGCCAUUCUUUUCUGAAAGCUAAAGAGCCUGACAAAGACUACAUUUCAUUCAUCUGUGUGUGUGUGUGUGUGUGUGUGUUUUACUGGGGAUUAAACCGAGGCCCUGAAUAUGCUAGCCAAAUGCUCUACCACUGAGCUACACCUGCAGCCCCUUUAUUUUAUAUUUUGAGACAGGGUCUGAUUAAGUUACCCAGACUGGCCUUCAGCUUGCGAUCCUCCUCCUUCAGCCUCCAGAAUUGCUGGGAUUACAGAUGUGCACCACCACCACAGCUGGCAUUCCUUCUAUUUUUAACCAGAGGAAGAAUAUAAGCGUACCUUCAAGACCAAGUUUUUUCCUACCGAAGAACUUUUGGGAUUGUUCUAAUGUGCAGGUUUCAUACAGUAGUUAGAUCUUUUCAUCUCACCCUGUGGAAGAGGAGUGGCUAAUACCUACCAUAGGUUCUGCCAUGCUACUUUCCAGGCCAUAUUUGCCUUUGCUCAAAUCCGUUUUAACACAGAGCUAUAGGGAGCUCUAGGGGCUCAGGGCACACCCUCAACCCUAUGAGGGUUGAUCACUGAGCCUGCUGAAACGAGCUGACUAUGGACAGAUUAAUAUAAAAAAGGUGCACAAAGUUAUCAACAUACAGGCACACCAAGUGACAAAUUGAGACUUGAGGAUGCACCAGAUGGCUGAAGCCUUCCUACUCUUUUCAUAGGGGAGAGGGAAGCGGAACUUGGAGAGCUCCAUUUAAUGGGAGAGCAAAUGAUUUUUAAGGAAGGUGAGUGGGCUCUGGGUGUAGCGUCAACUCUAGUCUUUCCUCCUGCAAGUUAAUCUUCUGGAGGAUCCAGCCUUUAUGUACACAGGGAAACUUCAGAGAGAGCCCCUUCCUAGGAGGGAAAGAGGAUGGAGGGACAGAGGGUCAGGGGAAGGCCAGAGAGACCCUGGGGCUGCUGCUUUGGUUCAGCAUGCCAAAGUGCCAGGAUUUGGGGUAUCAAUUCCUAAGCCCUACCCAACCAGUAGCAAUCAUUCAGUGUUAAGUAAUCACUUAGUUCAGGAGGGCUGUUAUAACAAUUUACCUCAAACUGGGUGGUUUAAGCAACAGAAAUUUAUUUUCUCACAGUUCAGGAGGAUGGACAUCCAAAAUCAGGGUGUCAGCAGGUUUGGUUAUUUUUUCCUAAGGCCUUCCUCCUUGACUUUCGAUGGCUAACUGCUCAUGGUCCUCGUUUGUCCUCUUCUCUGUGUACACAUAUCCCUGGUGUCUCCUCUUGUAAGGGAAUGAGUGAGGUUGGAUGAGGGCCCAGCCUCAGGGCCUCCUAAUCAUGUCUUUAAAUGCCCUACCUCCAAACAAGUCAUGCCCUCAGUACUAUGGUGUAGGGCUUCAUUAUAUGAACUUUGGAGGGAUAUAUUUCAGUCCAUAACCUUCUGAUACCUAUUUUCUGUCUCAGCCACAAUGUAUGCUUCCAAUACUUUCAGGAAAAAUAUAGAGUAUAAUCUAUUAAGAACAAACUGCAAAUGUUUGUGUACCUCUGGAUGGGCGUAUACUGCUUUAAGCAUUAGGUCUUAUUGCAUGAUGCUGCUUUCAGGUGGCCUCCUGUGCUUUGGGGGUACUGUGGGAAGAGAUGCCCAGAGUGAGCAACAUUCCCCUAAAGGAGUUGAGGAAUGGGUUCUCAGGGGAAUUAGUGUCAAGUCAUCAAUGCAACCCAAACCGUAAGCCAGAAAGGAACUGCCCUCAAACUCUGAGCCAUUGUCAAUAUGCUUGGGAGGGUUUCUCUGCUUCCCUAGCCUAGAAAGGAAAACCAGGAUUAUAAAAUUUAAAGAAUUUGAGCCACAAUGAUUCUUACUGGAAAAUAUUGCAAACACAUUCAUACACACAUAUUGCACGGACAUGUAAUAGCAAUCAUCUUUCAACAGUUUAUUAUUUAUGGAGAAUGACAAUAAUACCCCCGCCUUUUGUUUGGUAUUGAGAUUGAACUAAGGGGCACUGCACCGCUGACCUACAUCCCCAGUCCUUUUUAUUUUGUUAUUUUGAGGUUGGGUCUUACCACGAUGCUUAGGGUCUUGCUAAGUUGUCCAGGCUGGCCUAGAAUUUGGGAUCCUCUUGUUUCAGCCUCCUGAGUUGCUGGGAUUAAGUGUGUGUGCCACCGCGUCUGGCUAACAGUAACACUUUAUCACUUAAGAAAUUACCAACAUUUGCAAGUUGAAAGCUAGUAACAAUCUCAUUGCUCUACACUUAACAUACAAAGAAAUUUUAUUGAGAAAAGUGUUGAAGGGACAGUUGAGAGCACAGAUGGAUGUUUAGCAGAAAAACUUGCAUGUAUUUCUCAAGGAUCGGUAAAUUCCCUGUAAUUAUGCAGUAGACAUGGAAUCAAAACAAUCCACUUGAAACAAUCAGGUGUCUGUGUACUGAAUUCUUACUCUGUUAUCUUUUUUUCUUUUUAAUACAUAAUAUUCUUAAGAGGUACAUUUUACCAUUUGUGAAAUUAGAUUUCAAUCUUUCAAUAAACAUAAAAUAUAGUGUGGUCUUUCUCCUCUUUCUUUUCAUCCUUUUCUUCUUUCAAUGCCCUUCUUAAAAUGUGGGUGCAUUACACAGAUGGCAUAUGGUCUGUUUUUCAUUACUAUAACAAAAUGUCUGAAGCUGGGAAACUUUAUAAACAAAAGAGGUUUAUUUAACUCACAGAGAUUCAAGGGUUUACAUCUGAUGAUAGCUUUCUUGAUGGCAGAGUAUUGAGGUGGCAGAGGGCAUCUAUGACAAGAGACAGAGCAGGCAUAUGUGUGCUUUCUGGUCUCUCUCCCUCUUCUUAUAAAGCCACAAGAUUUUGAUCAUGGGGGCUGCACUCUGAUGAUCUUAUCUAAUCCUGAUCAUGUCCCAAGGUCCCCAUCUCUAAAUCCAUAGAUAGAUUUAAGGACAGUCCAUAUCUAAACCACAGCAGAUGUUUCUUAGAAUUGACCUAAUGUGCUUCCAAUUUGUUGGGAGUUUAGGUUGAUCAACAUUUCAUGUACUGUUUCAGGUUAGAUCUCCUCAUUUGGUUCAUAGGAAGGAACCUCAGUGGUGCACUGGUGUCCUGUCAUACCUCAAAUCUCAAUGGGACACUUACUUGAGGUGAAUCCUAAUAAAGUGCUGAAGAAGCUAAGCUUGACAAAGGCCUUGUGAUGGGCUCACAAAUGCCACGUUCCAGGAAUGAACAUAGUGUCCUCCAUGGCAGGACGGUUGAAUCUCUUUACUCCAAGUCUAUAUAAACCUAGGCUUCCUUUCAGUGAAGCACUUCUGUUUUGCAAAGUAAGGUGCAAUGUUUUGUAUGUAUGUAUCAUUUCUAACACAAAAAUAAAACCUACCAUGUUGUGGUAAGUUAGAAUAAAAGAACCAUUAACUCUUAAAUCACUGGAUACAUUAAAAAACUAAUUAUAUCAAGAAUAGUCUGGGAGUUAGUCCUCUGGAACAAUCUGCUUCUUAGAUUAGCAUAAGCGCUAAUUUGCAUAUAUUCUCUAGACAUUUAAGAAAGUGUGUGUGUGUGUGUGUAUAUAUGGCGUAUAUGGCAUAUAUAGCAUUUUAAAGAGAGUAAGCAUCAUGUAGUUAAUUCUUAUGGCAAGAGACAAUUUCAGUGUUUUUGCAACAUUUAACAAUCACUUCAUCUUUGUAAUACCAUCUAAAUCAGCAUUUUUAAAAAAUCCCAUAUAUUACUUAACAGAAAAUGUCUAAGUGGUAUCAAAAGAGACUGGAAGCAAAUUAAGUUUCCUUUUGUCCAACUUUGUGUCACUUCCUGCCUCCAUAAAUAGGGAAAGCAAAAUAUCUGCACUUCUUAUUCAUGUACAUCUGCCAAACCAAUUAACACCUCCUGAAUGUUAUCUUAAUUGCAUUUAUUAACAUAACAUUAACAUAGUGGGGAGAUAACAUUCAGGAGGUAUUAAUUGGUUUGGCAGGCACUCCAAUGGGGAGCAUAGAGAAGGGCCCUUCUCAGUAUCUUGCUUUUCCUUUUUAAAAAUGUUUUUGGUGGUAGAGAGUAAAUGAGAUUAUGCUGAAAGAGAGAAAAUAUAUCUUAACUAAAAAUGAGAGCCAUAUCACAGGGCCACUUGAUUCUCCUUUGUAAAAGUUGCAAAGAAAUAUGUGCUAUACCACCUGCCUCCUUGCCUCUUUACCCAGAUGCCCUCUUUGCAACUGCAUGUCUAUGACUAUGUGUGGCUCUGGCUUAGGAGGCCUAAGGAGGCUGUGGGGAUGCAGAACGCUCCUCAGGGAUGUACUGAGCCAUCAUUGUAAAUUUUUAUAGCACCUCAACUGCUUUACAAACAAUCAGAAUAUGUUCCUUUGAUGAGAAUUUAAUAGGGCUCCUACCCUUGUAGAUUCAUAGAACUAUAGAAGGUUAUAACUAGACUCCUCCAUUCAUUAACUCAUUCAUUAGGCAUUACUGAGCACCUGCUGUGGUCCAGGGACUGUGAAGCACUGGGUUACAGAGAUAAACAAGGUUCCAUACCUGGCUCAGGAAGUCCAUCUGGCAUAGGAAUUGGACAUGAAGGUAGUAAUUGCAGGUGUUUGGCUUCUAGAAUGAGCUAAUUAAUUGUGAUUAUCAUAGGCCUGCACUGGUUGGUGGUGGCAUGGAGGGUGGGAAGUGUGGGGGUUUAGGAUGUGAGUAGGAGAGGUGAAUACUGAAGACAGCCAGGCACAGUAAUCCUAGUGAUUUGGUGGGUCUGAUGUCAUUUCACAGCCUUUAUAUAGAGGGGACAGGAGGAUCAGAGUCGGAGAAAACAAAGGAGGCAAAGAUCAGAGAAGAGAAAAGAUGCCACCAUUGUCUUUGAAGAUGAAGGAGCCAUGAGCCAAGGAAUGUAGCAGCUUUCCUGGGGCACUCUGUGUAAUGAGACACCUUUUAUUUACUUUCUUUAGAGCACUUAUCUCUAUGGGGAAGUCCUUUAUUUAAUGACACAAUUAUAUUCUACUGUUUCCUUCAGGGUAUAGUGAUGUAUGCCUAUAAAUCCCAGUGACUAGGGAGGCUGAGGCAAGAGGAUCUUAAAUUUGAGGCUAGACUGGGCAAUUUAGUGAGACCCUGUUUCAAAAUAAAAUGUAAAGGGCUGGGGAUAUAGCUCAGUGGUAGAGUAUCCCUGGGUUCAAUUCCUAGGGUGGAUGGAUGGAUGGAUGGAUAGAUAGAUGAUAGAUAGAUAGAUAGACAGACAGAUAGAACUGGUUCCCUCGUGAGAUUAAAAUUUCCAUGAAGGCCAUGUGUGUGAUUAACGACUGCUACAGUGCCAGUGCUUGACAAAUGUUUGUAGAAAUGAAGAACUUUUUCACUUGCUCAGGGUUGUGUGUCUUCUGGCCAACAGAAUGUCCUCUGAGGGUCUUGAUAUAUUGAAGUAACAGAUGACUUAUAAUCACUUUGUGCACUGUUCAGAUUUCACUUCACUAAGGAAUUAUUCUGGCUCAGCUUUGGGAAUGCAGUUAGCAGGCAGUCUUUGGUUACCAGGGUUGUGCCCACUGUAGAAAACUGCCUUGCCCAAGUAUGCCAGCCAGUGGCUUUCUGAAAAGGGCAUAAAGGCUUGGUCAUUUCCAUCCAGUCUGGGCUAAUGCUGACAAGUUGUUUCAGUUCCAGAAAUCCCUGAGGGUUUGUGCAUGGUGGCCAUUGGGCCCAUAUUACCCUUGGUGUCUGCCUCACUUGGUCCAGCUUCCAAUGUCCUUCUAGAAGUGUUGAUCCUCAGGAUAUUCUGUAUACAUAUCCUGCACUUGAAACUCUUAGCUUCCUGCAGACCUCAAUCUCAAACAAUCACUAAGCUUGGAAUUUUGUCUUGAGUCAGGUAGUUAUAAAAAGCAGAAACAGAAUCCAAAAUUUAAGAAAAAUUUAUAAAAGUUUAAGAUCAAUGAAAUUCUAUCCAUUAAUUAUUAUCUUUCUACUGAGUUAAGAAACGACUGCUAUUGUUAAAGAUUCAUCAGUGGAAUCCCCUAUCAUACAGAUACGCCCAGCAACAUGGGUUGACAGCCAGCAAUUUCGAUUUUUAGGAGACUUUUUUUUACAUUCAGUAUCACACAUGUCAUCUUUCUCUCUAAUCUGCUCCCCUUCCUGGGUUUCCUGUGUCCCUGAAUGACACCAACAGCAUUCCAGGUGGUCAGGUCUGACCCUGGGUCCUUCAGAUCUCCCUCUCCUCUUUUCCCUAUGAGUCACCUUGUUGCAACAAAUCUUUCUCCAAAGUAUCUCUUGAACUUCUCUCUCUGAUUCAUCACCACUGUGGCUCUUAAUUCAAGCCACAGCUAUCUUUUCUCCUGGUUUAAUGAACAACCCUUUUGUUUUCUUAUUUUCUCUCCCUUCAUUGUUUUUACUGGGUGGGACUGGUCAUUGUCCAUCUUAAAGUCCAUUUGUAGCCGCCCAUCACUCUGAGUGUGGAGUAUAACCCAUUAGCAUGUCCAAAGCCCAGGCUUCUUUCUGUUUCUAGAAUCACCCCUGAUAUGCCCUCAUAGACCUCCCCACUUCCCCAAGGCUUCUUUGCUUUGGUCCUGCUGAAGUUCUCCAAAAUGUCCACGAUGGUGCCUAAGCCCAUAAUCACCUGGAUUCUCUUUGGAGCUCCAGCCUUGAAUUUUGCCAUCCUUCCCUCUUCCUAGUCUUAGUCAUAAUAGGGAGUUCCUCAUUUCUACCUCAUCUUUGCCUUUGGGCUUUUGCACAUAUCAUUCCCUCAGUCUGGACCAUUUUCCCCUUGUCUGCCCAGUCUUAGUUUGCCAUGUUGAUUUCUACGGCUGUUCAACCUUUCCUGGUUCUAUAAGAAUGGAUUUGAUACCCUUCCUACUGGUUUUAAAUUACUCUAUGCUUGUUCCUCUUUUUUUCUUCUUUUGCAGUGCUGGGAUUCCAACCCAGGGUCUUGCACUUGCUAGUCAAGUACUCCACCACUGAGCUACAACCCCAGCCCUGUCCUUUGUUUUUUUGUUUUGCUUAGUCCUUUUGAUAGAAGUAGUAUUGUUUGUAACUGCCUCUAAGCUUGACUGUCUCAGAUACUAGAUUAAACUUCUUAUUUAUAGCUGUAUCCUCAGCAGCUAACUUAGUACCUAGAGCACAGAAGGUAUGUGAGAAACAUUUGUUGAUGACUAAAUGAAAGAAUGAAUGAAUAAAUGAAGUUUCAUGAUAAACAUUUCUGGCCAUAUUUUAGAGAAAUGGAAAUUGAGGUUUACUGAGCUAAGAUUAUAUAGAAUUUGGAUCUUCUGAUUUCAAACCUAGUGCUUCUUACUAUAAAUGCCUCAAUCCUGCGUUCUAUAAACAUAAUAAAGCCUGCUUUAGGUUGGGCUCUAUUUUAUGUGCUGGGCUGACAUGAUCACUCUUAUGAAGCUUACAUUCUUAAAAAAAUGCCAAUGAACAAGUAAAAAAUAAUCUUGAAUAGAGGAAAAUUCUGUAAAGGAAAUAUGAUAAGAUGAUGUGAUAGAGUGAUAUAUAUGGGUAGGGGUUGCUCUUUAGAAAUGGGGCUCAAGAUUGGUUUCUCUGCUUAUAAUUGACUCAUGCAGAUUGCAUAUGUAGUUACUCAAAGAGUUGAGAUCUGUAAAAAUUUGAUUUUUCACAAAUGUAAAUGUACAAAAAAGAUAUCUCUUGAUUUAUUGAGGGAGUUUAAACUUUUCUUUUUUUGUAGUGGGGAUUGAACCCGAGGGUGCUUUGCCACUGACUUAUAUCCCCAGUUCAUUUUUUUUCUUUUAAUUUUUAUUUUGAGACAGGGUCUCAUUAAGUUGCUUAGGGUCUUACUAAAUUGCUUAGCUGGCCACAAACCUAUAAUCCUUCUUCCCUCCAGUUGCUGCGAUUAUAGGCAUGUGCCACCAUGCCUGGAAGGUUUUAACAAUUGUGCAUACACUUAUAAUGUAUAUACCCAAAGGCAAUGCUGUUACCCAGAAUGUUUUUUGAUCAAUCUCACCAAAAGCCUUGUUCUUCAUUGUUUUUCAGAUGACCAAAAUUAUAAAGGUGGUUGCACACAAUUACCAACAUGAUAUGCACUUAUACCUUUUACUUUUUGACCCAUUUCUGUAUGGAUAUGGUUAAUCUGCUCAUAACUGUUGUACCCAUGGGACUGUCAUUAGUAUACCUAAGUGUUUAUGCUUCUAAAAAUAUGUAUAGUAUUAUCACCUAUUUUAUUGUGUAACAGGGCCUAUGUAUGAAGCAUUGUGUCAUGAUUUUAGAUAUUUUUCAAAUAAAUCUCCUUUAAAAAAAUGUAACUAAGUGUCUUUUAGUGAAUUUUAAUAUUUUGUUCCAGAAUUAUAUGUUCAGGAUUUUGAUCUUUUGGGAUUUUAUAAUUGAAGGAUUUUAGAUUUUAGGGAUUUUGAUCUUUUGGGAUUUCAAUAUUCAAGAUUAUGGUAAUUGGGAUUAUGACCCAAAAUUCCAUGGGAUACACCAAGGAGGACCUUUGCAGCUAAGGGAAGUGCAUGUGCAAAGCUCUGACAUGGGAGGUAACUCAGCGUAUUUAAGGACUGGAAAGGUCAGAAGGAUGGAGUCACAGUAAAUAACAAGGAGACCGAUAGAGAAUGUGGUCAGAGAUCAUGUGGUCCCAGUGUAGUGCCAGUAGAUCCAGGCCAAGAGUUUGGACUUAGAGCAGGGAUGGCUUGAUCCAUUGUAUGCGACAGAGUGAAAGUGUUCGGAUGAUUAUCAUUUCUGGAAAUAAAAUCCCUUCUAAUUGGGAAAAUGGAAGCCUAGUAUGAUAAGAGCUCUAAAAGCAUUUUGGACAUAGCAAACAUUUUCCUUGGAGAAUUACAGGUGCUUUUAAAAGUCAUGAUGAUGUUUUUAACCAAUAUCUCCAAGGCUAAUUUUCCAGCCUAUCCCCAACUGCCUGCUGGGCAGCUUUUUCAUUAUGUCCUGCAAUUCUUGUCUAAUGAUAUAGUUUCUCUCUUGUGAGGUAAGAACUCUACCACAGAGCUACAACGCUCAGCCCUUAGACAAUUUAUUUUUCAUGAUCAUUCAGGUUAUUUUACUUUUAUGAAUAAUAUGUUGAAUGUUUUUCUAGAUUUAUUGAUGUGUAUCUCUUAUCUUGGCCUCAUUUUCUUAGGAAAAAACUUCUUAAAUGGACUUUUUUUAUUUUUGUGGUGCUGGGGACUGAAUGCAUGUCACAUGGCCUUGUGCAUACUAUGCAAGUGCUCUACUACUAAGCUGCACUCCAGAGCUGAAAUGCAAUGUUUCUAGGUUUUUUGUUGUUGUCUUUUUUUUGUUUUUUUGAGUCCUGGGGAUUCUACUCAGGCACCCUGUACCCCUAAACUGCAUUCCUCAGCCAUUUUCAUUCUUUAAAUUUUGAGACAGGGUUUCACUAAGUUGCCCAGUCUGGACUCCAAUUUUCCAUCAUCCUACCUCAGCUUCAUGAGUCACUGGGAUUAUAGGCGUGUGCCACCACACCAGGCCAGGCUAAAAAUGAAAUUCUUUUUUUAAAAUUUUUUUUUCUAAUUAGCAGGUAGAAAUUCCUUAUCACAUACAAUUCUUUUAAUAUUUUAUGGCUUCAUGACUUAUAAUUAAGCUUUACAUUUUUUUCCCCUUCAGAAAUUCUUUGGCAUGAAGUAUGAGACAGUGGUUUGGAUUUCAUUUUUUUCCUAAAUGGUUGGUCAGUUUUACUCAUAUUAUUUAUAGUUUAAUGCAAACUCCAAUGAUUAGAGAUGCCAGCUCUUAAGUACAUAUUUUGCAUCUGUUUCUGGGCUUCUAUUCUGUUUCAUCAUUCUGGCUACAAAUUUUAAUAAAAAUGCCCUGUCUCUUUGGGUCCAGUAGCUUGCUAGUAUGUUUAAUAUUUGGUAGGGCACAUUCUAAUUUGCUCUCCUUUCUUUUUUUUUUCCUUCCUUUUUUUGGUGGGGGUUGGUAUUAGGUAUUGAACCCAGGGGCUUUUUACUACUGAGCCACAUCCUCAGCCCUUUCUAUAUUUGAUUUAGAGAUGGUGUCUUGCUGAGUUGCUUAGGGCCUUACUAAGUUGCUGAGGCUGGCUUUGAACUUGCAAUCCUCCUGCCUUUUUCCUUUCCUUUUCUUUUUUCCUACAAAGAUUUCCUAAAUUUUCCUACCAUAUUAUAUUUUUUCCAAGUGAAUUAAAUACCAUUUAAUCAAGGUUUUUUUUUAAACAAAGCUUAUUGAGAUUUUUGUGUUGUAUUAAAUUUAUUUUGAAAAAUAAUUAGCAUCUUUCCUUUUGAUUUUUUUUUUUUUUUUUUUUUUUGCAUGGUACUGGAGAUUGAACUCAGGGUUAUUCUGUUGCUGAGCUAUCACCCUUUUAUUUUUUGUUUUGAGACAAGAUCUCACUGAAUUUGUUAGAUUGGCCUUCUUUAGCCCCCGAAUUAUGGGAUUAUAGUUUGUGCAUCACCACACCUGGCAACCUUUGUAUUUUUAAAAUUUUGAGACAGUUUAUAAAUUAUACCUAUCUUUUCCUAUUCCUGUUUUUGUUAGGUUCAUAUAAACUUGAGAUCCUCCUGCCUCAGCCUCCUGAGUUGCUGCAAUUACAGGCAUAAACAUUGGCAUCUUGAAAAGUAUCUUUCUAAAAUAAAUCUAACCUCACUUACAUUCUAUUUAAAAACAUACUGUUGUUGGUCUGGGUGUAGAGCUCAGUGGUAUGCUUAAGGCCCAGGUUUUAACCCCCCCCCAUCCCCCAAAAAGAACAACUUUUAUAGUUCCCUCUAAAGGGAAACUGAUUUUUCUUGGAUGGCAUUUAACACCUUACAUAUUUUGACUCCCGUAUACCUUUUCAUUAUCCUUUACCUAUUUAGAAAAUAAAUUCAUUAGGUGACAGCAUCUCAAAGAGCAUAGAAUCAGCUAGGCUUGGUGAUGUAUGCCUGUAAUCUUGGAGGCUGGAGAGGCUGUGGCAGGAGGAUUGUAAUUUCGAAGCCAGCCUUAGCAAUUUAGUAAGCUUGUAAGCAACCUGGUGAGAUGCUGUCUCAAAAUAAAAAAAAAUAAAAAGGGCUGGGAAUGUGGCUCAGUGGUUAAGCACCCCUGGGUUCAAUCUCUAGUACCGACUAAAAUAAAUAAGAACAUGGAACCAUCAUUUGAAUCUAGGGAGAGAGUUGGACCACAGAAAGCAUUCAUAGCCAAGUCGAAGAUGUGGUUUGGAAAUCUGUACUUACCUCAUUCACUGUUGUAGCUGGAGCCAGGGAGCCUCCGAAGCUUGACUGCAUUUUGGCCUGUAAAUCCAUCCAGUAAAGGACAUCAUUUCUAACCUACAAGCAUUUCAAGAUUGUGUACAUGAUCAAGGAUAUCUUUAUUUUAAGUCUUGGGAAAACUUUGACUUUGGCUCCUGCCUCUUGACAUUGAAGAACAAAAUUCCACUAACUGCAAAAUAAACAAUUUGGCUGCUUUAUGUUUAGCUUGCAGCAUAAUCUCCAAAUUCUGGCCCCAGUAAAAGUUUCUGUUGGCUCUUUUCAUUCCUCCUCACCCUUCCUUCUUCUCCACAUGUUUCCCCAUUCUCUCAUGUACAAAUCUGGUGGUGGAGAUCUGGGUCAGAGAUAGUGGGGUUGAGAUGGAAAUGAGAAGGAACAAGGAGAAACAUUGAGAAAACUAACUUGGCAAUGUUAAAACUUGCUGAGAGAAGACAAAUGUUUUAUUUUAAAAAUUAUUUAAAUUCUAAAAAAUUAAUUGAUUCUUCAAAUAUCCUUUUGGAUAGUAAUAACACAUAGACUUAAAAUGUAAACACUCUCAUAGGAUUUAGACCAAGAUUUUUGCAGACAACUAGCUAGGAUCUUGGAUAGUCUUGUUUAUAUACCAUGUUAGCUAGGAAAUCUUUUAAAACUCAAUAUUUGAGAAUUGGAUUCUGUGACUAUUUUGCUAAUGUUGGGAUAUAAAAACAACUCCCAUAUUGUUUCUAGUAUUGGGAAAAGAGUAAUUACACAGUUUUUGGACUCCAGAGAGUGUACUUUGUUCAGUGAUUUAAAAUUUUCCUCCAAACAAGUAUUAGAGAGAUAAUAAAAUGGGUAUAAUUGAUUAAUCAAACCUGUAUUCUGUUUUCUAUCCUGUAUUUCUUUUUCUCCAGUUUUUUGGGGGGAUAUUAGGGAUUGAACUCAAGGGCAUUAAACCACUGAGCCAUAUCUCCAGGCUUAUUUUGUAUUUUAUUUAGAAACAGGGUCUCACUGAGUUGCUUAAUCCCUCGCUUUUACUGAGGCUGGCUUUGAAGUUGCAAUCCUCCUGCCUCAACCUCCUAAGCUGUGGCCUAUACUUCUUUAUUACUUUAUUAUGAAAGUGAUUUUGAUCAAUCAAGUAGUGCAAAGAUGAACCUAACAAAAGCAGGAAUAGGAAAAGAUAGGUACAAUUUAUAAACUGGAUCAUCGCCAUUGAAUAAUCAAAACUUGGUGUCAGAGUCCAUAUAAGUGGAAAUUGAAUUGCCAUAAGGCACAAUAAUGCCAAAAAGUUUCUUGACCUUUAUUUCCCUUGUGUAUUAUUUUCUAGCUGUCCUAUGUGUUUGUGCAAAUAAGAUACCUUACUUUAUGAUCAUUUUUAAGAUGAAAAUGUAAAAUUGCUACUUUUAACUUCUGGAGGGUUUGACAAUUUUAUUUUAAUAAUUUUUAAAAUUUAUUUAGCAGUAGUGAGUAUUGAACCCAAAGAUACUCUACUAAUGUUUUAUUUUGAGACAGGGUCUCACUAAGUUGUCAAGGCUGACCUGAAAUUUGUGAUCCUCCUGCCUCAGACUCCCCAGUAGCUGGUAUUACAGGAAUGCACCACUCUGCCUUGUGAAAUUGACCUUUUUUUUUUGUUGUUGUUGUUUGAAUUUUGGAAUGCUUUAGCAUAGUUUGUAUAAGAUAACAAUGCAUUCAUACAAUUAGUGAAACUUUGUCCUUUUUUAAAUUAGGAAUUUACUCUCAGAAACAUUUUCAGUAAAUAUGAUAUGAAAAUUGACAAGUUUUUUAGGAUAAUCUUUUGAAAGUCCAUAAGAGCUAUUUCAAAUUCAUAGAAACAGGAUUACAAUGUAUCAAUUACUAAACAUAAAAAGUAAAGAGGAACUAUAGAAAGAUGUACAAUAAAUGUUUUUUAUCCAUAGGAAAUGUUACAGAUGUACCAUAGCCUAGUUUCCCAUUUUGAGUGCAAAGCUUAGUCAUAUAAGCAGGAACUGAAAAAAAAAAAAAUCAAGCAAGCCAUUUGCCUCUCCCAAGAUCUGAUCAUGAAUUAUAGAGCUUGGGGUUCAAGGACAGUAAUUGCCUGUACAACCCUGCAGGGAGUUGAACUGAGCUCCGUUAGAAGUCACAGCUGGGCAGCAGAGGACAGAAGGUAAUGAGAUAUCUGGGCAGUAGGGCACUGGCUCAUUGGCUGCUCAUCUGAGAAAUCCUGGUGUAUGGAUGAGGACCAGGCUCUGGAAAAUAAUGAGGCAGACAGGAACCAUUGAUUGAACUUGAAGCAGAGAAAUGGUGAAAGACAAGGAAGGGACCAAAAACUAACUCCAGAUGGUGAGAGGUAUCCAGGCAAAAAGCAUUCUCUAUGGGGGCAUUACCUAACCAGGGCUGAAAGUUAGAAACGCCCCUCUAUGUGCUACUUGUCCACUUAUUUUAAGAGAAUUUCCGAGGCCUCAAGUAAUGCCAGUGCAUGCAUGCACAAGUUAGUAAGAACUGUCCUUUGAAUGGGGAAGAAGCAAAGUCCUCACACAUUAUAAAACCUAUGCUCAAAAAUAGAUACUUUUUUUUUUUCUACUAAUAAAAGAACAUCUCAAAAGUACACUGAGAGAACAAAUACACUGAACCUCAUGUAACUGUCACAGGAGAAGAGAUGGCUUAGAAGAAGGAUCUGAAAAGUUCUAGAGAGAAAGGGGAACUGGACUCAGGACAAUGGUGUUUUAAAAGACUUUUCAGCAUAUGCCAGUCAGAGCCAUAGACAGAGGUUCAUUUAGGAAAGCAGAGGCACAUUCAAGGGAGAAUGUGGGCCAUCUCCAGAGGGGGAAACCACAACCUGUUAGUGUGGGGUGUUAAUAUUUAUAGAGGGAUGGUUUCUAGGGGCUGGACUGGAGGUAGAGUCGGGGCAGAGUUACACAAUUUUGUACCAGUUUCCCUGCACUUGCUCACUGCCUUCAUGUAAAUUUUUUGCAAACAAGGGCUCAGGACAAGGGUGCAGGCUGGGUCUCUCAGGAGUUACAACUCUUCGUGUAUGCUUUCUCAUUUCUGUGUUUCAUGGGUGUGUUUUGCAGUUUAGGGGUUCAUGGGUACUUCUUCCUUUGAGACUCAACAUCCUUCUCUUUUCUGUUACCCCAAAUUCCUAUCUCAUUACCUCUGCUCAGCCUCAACAAUUGUCAAUAUUUUAGCUAUCUUGGAGAAAUUAUUAUUACUAUUUUGAUGAAAAGAGUUGGCAUGAAGAGAAGAGAGCUGGAAGGUGAAACUAGUCCCAAGCAAUGAGGGGGAGACGGGGGGUUGGGGGGGAGAGGCCCACGUUGUCACCAGGGCUCCUUGAACUCCUCCACUGUGACAUUAUUACAAGCAUUACCUGCAUUACUUGUUAAAUGAAGGGUAUUAGUUCUGUGAAUAAUCAAGUAAUCAAAAACUAGUUACUGCUUUGACUUUUUAUUACAGGUUCUUCAGCCACUUACAUUUAACAUUUUUAAAUAUAUCAUUAUUUUAAACACACAUCAUUAUUUUAAUUAUAUCCAAUUAAAUAUACCUGCAUCUCCUCAGCAUGCAUCAUUAUGUACUUUACUAAAAAGCACUUUGAAUCAAAUUGCAUACCAAGGUUCUUUAUUAUAAUUUAUGUGCACAAGUCUGCAGCAGAGUCACACAUUUUGGAGAUUAAUUAUCAAGAAGUUUGUUUAGACUUUUGGCAAAUGAGAAACUUAACCUGAACUUCAGUUUACUCUCAUAUUUAUAAUUUCAUGAUAUCAUUGUCCUAUCAGGCACCGUUGUGUUUUUCUGUCUGAGGAGAGUACAGACAAAGACUAGAAGUUAUUUUGGCUUGCCCCAGUCAUUUGUGCCCAGGUCUUUACAUUAUUUAUCUCUUUUGUGUAUUCUCCCAAAUAAUGGUCUCCAAAUUUCCCAUGAUUCAAUCUCAAUCUCAUGGAAAUAAUAUUGCUAGGUUACAGGAACAAAGCUCAUAGUGAUUGCUUUUAUCUCCAUUUGGAAGAUUUUAGUUUCUUUUUCCCAUGGAUCUAUAACCUCUUAUAUCUGCUUUUGUAUCACUGAGGCAUAAGAAAUUCUUAUUACUGGUAUUUGACAAAUGAUGCAAUAUGCAAAGAUUUUUAAACUAGAAUUGGACCUAUAGUAUUUGUGUUCUAGGAAGAUUUCUGCCACUGGUUGCCAUCCCAUCUCCAUGGUUAUUUACAAAAAACUGAUCUGAAUAAACUAAAAGUGAAGACCUAAUUUUUACCAUUUAUUAUAGGCAAUCAGGUGGUCCAGUUUAAUACUUAUCUUUAUCUUUUUUAAAAAAAAAAUUUUUUAGUUGUAGAUGGACACAAUACCUUUAUUUCAUUUAUUUUUAUGUGGUGCUGAGCAUCGAACCUCUUGCCUCACAUAUACCAGACGAGCUCUCUACCACUGAGCCACAAUCCCAGCCCUAAUACUGAUAUCUUGACUGCUCCUAUAUCCUAGAUCCUAAAUCCUUGGAUUGACUCUGUGACUUACAUCCUUAACUGUCCUCUGUGUUCUUGGCACAUUUUCUUACUUCCUCCAAUAUUUGAACAGAAGUGUUUUUUUUUUUUUUUUUUUUUUUAACUCAGGGGCUCUUGACCAUUGAGCCACAUCCUCAAUCCUAUUUUUUGAAAUUUAUUUAGAGACAGGAUCUCACUGAGUUGCUUAGUGCCUUGCUUUUACUGAGGCUGGCUUGGAAUGCGGGAUCUUCCUGUCUUAGCCUCCUGAGCCACUGGAAUUAUUACAGGUAUGUGGCACUGUGCCCAACCAGAAGUGUUUCUUAUGUAGUUUCUGGAUUGACUUAUUUCUCAGAACCUGGUAUCCCUUGUUUUCUCAAGGGAGGAUGGCUAUUUUCAGAGCAACUCUAUGCUUGUCUCCUCAUAUGCCUCUUCAGAUGGAGGUUAGAAAUUGAAAAUUGGGUAAAUCUUGACCUGGAGUAUAUCAGAUUUUCUAGUCUCAGUUUCAUCAUUUAUACAUGUCAAUCUGGGCUUCUAUAACAAAAUAUUACAAACUGGGUGACUUAUAAACUAUAGAAAUUUAUUUCUGAACAGUUCAGGAGGCUGGGAAGUCAUUGGAGGCUGAGAAGUCACAGACAAAACAUUGGUAGUUUGGUGUCUGGUGGGAGCCCAUAUUCAGGUUUAUAGUUGCUAUCCUCCUGUGUCCUCACAUGGCAGAAGAGGUAGGAGAGCUUUCUGAGAUCUCUUUUAAAAUGGCAAUGAUCCCUCUUAUGAGGGCUCCCUUUCAUGACCAAAUCAUCUCCCAGAAGCCCCCCUCCUAAUACUAUUGCAUUGAGGAAUUGGGGGCAGGGGAUGGAGACAGGGGCUAAACAUGCAAUGUAUAGCAUUACAACUGAGGGAUUUUUACCAGUCAUCUCUAGUGUCCUUUCACUGUUAACAUUACUUUAAUAUUACACAAUUAAUGUAUUACUAUAUUCACAUUGUAAAAGUUUUAGAUAGUACGUGAGUGUACAGAAAAUGGCUGUAGAGUCCCCUCAGCUAUAUUGCCCUUCUAUCUCCUCUCUCACAGAGAAAGAUAACUACUUAUGUUAACAUGCCUUGAUUAAUUUGCUUCUUUGUGACUGUCAGCUGCUAUGAUUUGUGCAUUCUAUUUUGGAUACCACUUAACAUCAUUUGUCAUUCAAGAGGCUCUUCUGGUGGGGAAUGGUGUAGGUGAUCUAGAAAACACAAGUUUCAGCAGAAGAUUUGAAGUAUGAACAAUAAAUUGUUUUCCCUGGUUUGAAUGAGUCUGUAAAGUUAGUUGUCUCCCUUUCCAAUUGCCAGGAAAUUUGAGGGGAAGGACAUGGUGAUGAAAAGAGUAGAAAAAGGUGGAAAAAAAAUGUUCUCUUUCAGAGAUUUUAUUUCCUCCUUCAGAGCAGCCUGUGAAAUUUAUGCAGAGAAUGGUAUAUUUUUGGAUUAAGUUUUGUGACUCUAGUGACCAAGUGUUCCAUUGUCUAGAGUAACAGAACAUAGAUUGUGGUUGACUAUUGUGUGAGUAGAUAUUUCUCUUACAAAAAAAUGCUGUUUAUUAAAAUGACAACUUUAAAUAGGACAACUUCUACUGGCAAAUUAUUACAUAAAUAAUAGAACAAAAUUUAAAGAAAUACAAAGUAGCAUUGUCUAUUAGUGGCAGCUGAUUAUUUUGAACACUACUACUACUAAAAAAAAAAAAAAAAAUCUUAAUUCACCUGAAUCAGACUCCUUCCAGAGUGAAUAUAGUUUCGAGGCAUGUGACACUCUUGCUGUUUCCUUUCUGUUGUUAAUCUCUUCACUUUAGCAGAUGGUACUUAGAAUUCACUUUACAUGAGAGUUUAUAAGAAUGAAUCCCAUUUUCAGUUUUAGUUUCUUUGCUUCCUUGCUCUAUGCAAAACUAGAAGGGGGAAAAAAAAAGACUAUUCCUUUAUGUAUUAAACAUCAACUUCAGUAAUUUUUUCCAAGCAGAAGAAUUUGCAAAUUUUCUUUAACUUUUUUGAAACCAGUGAGUAAUGCAGAAAGCCAGAAUACUAAACAUUAUCUAUUUCUAAAAGCAAAUAAUUUUGCAUUUCAAAUUCUAUACUCAGCCAAACUUUUGUUUUAGUGAUAAGGCAAAAUAAAGGUAUAUUUGGAUUUGACCACAGACCUUUGAAAGUAAUCUUCAAAACAUAUUGCUGAGUAAUAACAUGAAAAAUAAAAUGAAUACAGUAAUGAUUAAGAUGUGGGGCAAACUGGGUGUAAUGACACAUGCCUGUAAUCCCAGCUGCUGGGGAGGGAAGGUGGAGCAAGUUUGAGUUCUGCCUCAGCAAUUUAGCAAGACCAUGACUGAAAAUAAAAUAUAAAAUGAGCUGUUGGUGUAACUCAGUGUCAAGCACCCCCUGGGUUCAGUCUCCCAUAUUACCCCCCCCACCCCCCACCCCCCAAAAAAGAUGCAGGACAAAACCUAUGAAAGUUAGAUAGUCUAAUGAACUAUUGACACAUAACAUAGAUAGAAACCAUUGUUAAUGAUAGGAACUAACAUCUCCAACCUGUAAAGAAUAGAUGUGAGAGUUUAGGGAUUAGAAAAUUCAAAACAGAGAUGGAUCUAGGACUAAGUCUUAAACUCUCACCUUGAUCAGGGGAUUGCUAGACAUACAUUGAUAAGAUAUAUACAUUUAAGUGUAAGCAUUAAAAUGUAAAGGUAAUCUCUAGGCAGAAUAGAAAAGGAUAUCUUUCUAAAACCUGAAAAAGAAGAAAAAAAAUGGAACAACUAGAUUAAUUAAAUAAAGGAAAGAGAACAAAAAGAGGCUGAAUGCAAAGCAAUGAUAAAUAGAAAACAUAAAGAUAAAUGGAUUGGAGGGGCGCUGGGGUUGUGGCUCAGUGGUAGAAAGCUUACCUAGCAUGUUUGAGGCACUGGGUUCUAUUCUCAGCACUAUAUAUAUAUAUAUAUAUAUAUAUAUAUAUAUAUAUAUAUAUAUAUAUAUAUAUAUAUAAAUUAAUUAGUUAAAUAAAGGUCCAUCUACAAUAAAAAUAAACUUUUUAAAAAGAUAAAUGGGGAGAAAUAAGUAGUUGCACUUUAUGUGAAUGUUUUGAAAUUUCCAUUUUAAAAACAUUUCAACUAGGUGUGGCCCCACACACCUGUAAUCCCACUAGCUCCAAGGCUGAGUCAGGAGGAUUGCAAGUUCAAGGCCAGCAAUUUAGUGAGGCUCUGUUUCAAAAGAAAAAAAUUAAAAAGUCUGGCGAUAUGACUGAGUGGUAAGUGCCCUGGUACCAAAACAAUAGGAUAAAUGAAUAAGUAAAUAAAUAUAUAAUAACAAAUUUUAGAGUUUUAAAGAAAAAGUCCAAAUUUCUGCUGUUAAAAUACAUGACAUCCCAGAGCAAAGUAAUACAAAAAAUUUGACCAAAGCGUUCAAUAGUCAUGAAAUUGUAGGCAGGACAAAAUUGUAAAACAGAAAGCAAACCAAAACAGCAAAAUCUCAACAACAAAUAACAAAAACCCAAAAUGAUGGAACUAGAAGGAGACAGGAAUAUAUAUAUAUAUAUAUAUAUAUAUAUAUAUAUAUAUAUAUAUAUAUAUAUAUAUAUUAAUACUUACACAAAUUUUAUUUAUAAAAUAGUGAGUUUAUUUUAUUUAAUCUCUGGACCACUCAGAAAAUUUGAUCCUAUAUUUGUCUACUAGGAAAAAUUCCAUAAAAUCUAAAGAGUAGAAACCAGAAUCUAUAUUUCUGAACAAAAUACUUUAAAAUUAAAUAAUAACAAAUGGUGAAUCCAUCUACCAUAAUCCAUCCAUCUGGGGAAAAAAUACACAGUUCUUUAAAUAACUCUUGGGUUAAAGAGGAAAUAAAGACAAACUAUAAACCAUCUAUGAGUUUAAAAGACAAAAGCUCUUCCAAUUAAUACUUAUUGAAUAUGGCUGAAGCGGCACUUAGAGGAUUUUACAGCCUUUGUCCACUUAUUUGAAAUAACAAGGUGUUAAAAGAUUUAGUAAUUAAGAAAAGAAGCAGUAAAUACAUCUUCAAAAAAGCACUAGGAGAUAAUAAACUGAAUUAAGGACACAGAAACAGGGGUGGGGGGGACCUCAAACGAUGGACUUUGUGUGCAAACCCCAAAGCUACUUCUUUGAGGUAGUGUAUGAAGAAGACAAAACCCUUGUUAAGUCUGAUCAGAAAAAAAAAAAAAGAAAAUUUGCAAAUACACUUCUGAAAUAAGGAAGAGAAGCCUUAGGUACCAGUUUUGGGGAAAUUAAAAAAGUGUGUUUAAUCUUUGACCUUAAAAUAAUGAAAAGGAACAUUUUUCCUAGAAAAAUAUAAAUUAUCAAGAUUAUUUCAGAAGGUGGUAGAAAACCUAAAGAGAGUAAUAAUAGUCUUCGAAGUUGACAAAAUUAUUUUUAAAAUAUACCCUGGAAGAUACAAGUCCUGGACAAUUUUAUGGGCUUUAUAUCUUAAAUCUUUAAAAACUAGUUAAUCCCUACUAUAAAUAAGUAGAUGAAACCAUUCCAGCUCAUUUAUUAUUCCAUGGGAUUCUAAAAUUGACAACAACCACACAUACAUGUAGAAUGACCACUAUAGGCCAAUCUACCUUAUAAACAUACAUAUAGAACAUCAUGUAAAAUAUUUUCAAAUUGAAUUCAUUGUCACCAGGUAGCAUUAGUCCCAGGAACGCAAUAAUGAUUGUACACUAGGAAAUUUAUUAAUGUAUUUUAACUACAUUAAAAAAUUAGAGGAAUCUGAGUGUGAUGGCACCUGCUUGUAGUUCCAGCUACUCAAGAGGCUGAGGCAGGAGGAUUACAAAUUUGAGGGUAGCCUCAUCGGCUAAUAAAUAAAUAAAUAAAUAGGGCUGGAGAUAUAGCAAAUCUAUAACAAUAGCUUAAAGCAUCCGUACUCUUGAAUGCCGAAUGCAAUGAGGUACUGUUCUAUCUGGGAGGAUCUUAGACACAUUAGAGAAAAAAAUGUAAAACCAUGCAUAAAGCAUAACUUCAUCUGUAUUAUACUUAAAAAACUAAACCAUUUAUUACACAUGAAACUACAAAGAGAUAAUCCUUCUGGAGUUUGAGAAGAUACUUAUCAUUGAUAAUCUUUAUAUAAGCUUGUGGAUGAUUUGAAAUGUGUUAGUUAUUGCAUUACUCAUAUUUCUAAAAAGCUUCUCCUUUCACAGUCUAAUUUUUGUAGAGGAAAUAUAUAAUUCCACCAGUUUAUAUUUUAUAUAUUUUGUAGAUGGCAUGCCAUUAUGAAAGAGAAAUAGUACAAUGUUACAUUUUUAUUAUGUUAUGCUAAUCAUUUUUUUAGUCAACAUUUAUUGGAUGUCUGAUUGUGCAUAAAGUACUCUAUCCCUAGGCAUAUGAGAGGAUGGAGUACAUGUUCUCAUUUCACCAUUGCUGUGGCUGAUUUGCCAGAAAGAUCACGUGCACAAGUGGCAUACGCAAGAAGCAUAGAGCACCCAGCUCUGGUACUUUUGUGGACGUUCCUAGUCUACUGAACAGAGAUUCCUUUGUGAUGAAGGUCAGGCCAGUGCUAUUUUGUGUUUGGCAGAUGAAAAAGUCACUGGAAGCAAGAGCUUCUCUGAAUUUCACAUGCAAAGAAUCCCAUGUUUCUUUGCUUUGCCAUGUUUACAAGAUCUGUCUUCACAGAAAGAAGUCAUUUAUCUGCAAUAACUUACUCCACAACUAGCAGUGUUGAUAGUCAUUAGUGCUUUUAUUUUUCUGUGGGAUGGUGACAAAUUUAAACUGACCAGUGUACUAUUUCCAAACUUAUUUUUCUCUCUUAAGAAUCAGGCAUUUUACAUGCUCAUUCCUUAUUUUCAGUUACAUCCUUUUCUUUUCCACAACUCUUAUACCAAAUUUAACUUCAGAUCCUGCCAGUUUGAAUGCUGUGCAUGAAAAUUCUUUAAAAACAACAACAAAAAAAGCAUCAAAACUCCAAAAACUCCUCUGUAGUAGCAUUUUCCUGAGUUAGAGCAGACAGGUGACACAGAAGGGGUUGCACUAAGAAUGGAAAGAUUUAGGUUUGAGGCCUGUCUUCCAGGACCUUUGACAAGUCCUAUAACCUCUAGGCUUCACUCUGUGUCAGCUGUAAAGUGGGGGUGGGUGGGUAUAGGUGAUGAAGGAAAAAGAGCUUUGAAAAGUAUAAAGCAGCAGAUCAGCAUGAGACUUUAUAUAAGUCCCUUAAUCCCCUUCUUGCAUGCACACACUCCAGCUACAUGCAAGUUUUAGGUUUCUAUUAUCUUUCAUUUGUGUUCCUUUUAAAAGUCAGCCUCCCCUAACACAGUCAACUUUGUCUUUUGUCACAUGAACCCGUUGAUCUCCCUGGCACCUGAGACCUUGAAUUGAUUUAGUUCUACAUUUUAGGCACUACCUGUUUUUUUUUUUUUUUCCACCCCCAAAGAGGUAUUUAGUUGAGUGUCAGAAGCACAGGAUGUUCCUUUUUUGUUAACUUAACCUCUGCCGUUGUUUUUUUUUUUUUUUUUUUUUAAAUCUGAUUUGAAAGAACAGGGACCCUAGAAAGCUUGUGAUAUGUAAAUAUUUAGCCAGGCAGAUAGGGAUAGUAAGCAUUUUCUCUCUUAACACAAAACAUGAUUUUAUUUGCUAGAGCUGUAAUCUUGUUUGAUAAUCCAUCAGUUUAUUAUCAGCUAUGUGGUGAGACAUAAUGCCACAGGGAGAUAAUCAAGAACUGCGCCUGACACUAUAGGGUUGAUUACAGGGACUGGAGAAGAUAGAGUCUUCUGCAAAGGAUUAUGUUAAACAUAGCCUUUCUAUUUAUAGUUGAUUUUCUCCAAGCUCCUUAACUCUUCUGCUCCCAGCCUAGGUAAAUAGGUCAUCUGAAAACCUUCAAGGAAGAGGUAUCUUUGCAGGUAUAGAACAACCAGACUUUUCUCCACCGGGCCCCAUUAAGUUAUUGUUUCAUGCUCAAUACAUCUCUGAGUUGAAGGAGAGAAGAGAUAUAUGAUGGUGUUCCAUUGCAGUCAGUAUUUAGAACAAAACCAAACCAAAAAAACCUCGGAGAAGUACAGGUUAAAAACAGAACAGGAAAUCUUUACACUCCAUUUGGACCUUAACUCUAACUAUUAGGUCCAAUAAAUUGGCCUGUUAAAUUGAAAUUUGAAUAUGACAUUGAUUUGCAGGACUAUCAGGCUGUCAUCAAUCUGUGAUUUCUGAACCAAGGGCAGAGACCCUCUAGGACAGGCAUCUGGAAUGCACAGUCCCAUAGAGUUGCAUGCACAUAUGUGAUAAGGAGACUGGUGCCACCAGAUUUCUCCAAAAUGGUGGCACUACUUCCAGUCCCUAGUGGGAGGCAGGGAGGCAUUUCAUUCAACUCUUAUCUUUGUCUACUCCAUUCUUCUCUGUCUUGAAAUUUAUCUCCUCAAGAUUACCCACUAUGCAAAAUGUCACCAUCCACAAAUCCAACCUUCAUCUCACAGGCCUGUAAGGUUACUCGAUUGUUUUCUGGCCACUGGAAAUAAAGCCUGUGUGGUUCUGCAGUGCUCUGCCAUUAUCAUGCUUUCAUGUUUAUUAUCUCGCUUGAGCCUUUCCUGAGAUAGGUGGAUGAGACUGAGUUUCAAAGAAUUUAAGUAUCUUGUCCAAGUUUACACAGUUAGUGAUUUCUUCUUUUGUUCUAUUCCUAUCUUCUUCCUUUUCUUUCUCCUCAGAAGAUAUUUUCUUAAGAAUGUAGACUCUGAAGCCAGAAGACUGGUUUUAAAUCCCUGGUUCUGUAUAACCUUGGGCAAAUUUGCUUGGUAUGCUUUGGUCCUUAGUAGUAAAAUGAAGAUAACAAAAUUAUCUACUUCAUGUAGUUUUAGGGAGGAUAAAGUUGGUUAUGUGCACUAUUGUAAUACUAAGAAUAGAGUCUAGCACAUAUCAAACAAUCAGUAAAUCUGAGUCCCUAUUGUUACUAUUGUUGUUUUUAAAAUUCCCUCAUCAAAUAUUAAUUGUCUUCUUUUUAACUGGGCAUUGUGCUAGGCUUCAGGGAUGAGUUGGAGACGUUCCUUUUCCAUGGAACUCACUGUCAAUAAAGAGACAAGCCAUCUGAUUAAGUGCAGACAUCAUAGCCCUCAUGUAACCAAAGAUGUACUGUGUGGGACCCCUGGUUAUCUGUGCAGGCCCCUUGGAUGAGGAAACCUGGCAUCUGAAUUGAACACUAGAGAUGAAGUAUAUGCCAGGCCAAUUGUCAAGGGAUGUAUAUACCCAGCAGAGGGCUCAGUAGGUAUGAAAUAAAAAGAAUGAGAGAUAUAUUCGUUUUCUUGGACUGAUAUAAUAAAAUACCAUUAGAGGCAAUGGCUUAAAAAACAGAAGUUAAUCUUCUAUAGUUCUGGAAGCUAGAAGAUCAAGAUCACGGUGUCAGCAGCUUUGGUUUCUUCAGAACCCUGUUCCUUGGCUUAUUGAUGACUGCCGUAUUUCUGCAUCCUCACAUGGUCUUUUUUCUGUAUGCAUACAUUCCUGCUGUCCUAAUCUAUUCUUCUAAGGACACCAGUCAGAUUGAAUUAGGGCCCACCUAUGUGACCUCAUUCUACCUUGAUUAUCUCCUUAAAGGCCUUGUUGUGAAGUACUGGGUGUUAGGACUUAGCUUAUGAAUUUGGGGCUGGUACAAUAAAGCCCAUAACAAAAGUAUCUGUUAGGUAUGGCUGGCAUCAGGUGUAUGUGGAUGAAGUCAGAAUCACGGGCAGUGCCCAGAUCUUGAAAGGCUCAACCUCUCAUCAAGGCUGAGGAAUGGACACUGCCACAUUUAGGCUCUGCUGGCCCCUGUGUGUAUGUGAAGGGCAGACUGGAAAAAGCCACAUUGUGACCUGUUGGAUGAGACAUUGCUUUGAAUUCUUGUUCUCUCCCACCACGCCCCAAGGCUUAUGUAGAGUUAAAGGGAGGAAGUGAUUUCCCAGUAGAAGGAGAUCCAUGAGGACAAGGAUGCCUGUGGGAGUAAGGGAUAGAAGAUGAGGAGAUGGGACAGCCACAACCAAAAGUUUGCCUAGGAGCAUUAGCUAGGCAGAAGGUGCAGCAGCUCAUACGAUUGAAGAAGCACCAGACAGCAGGCAAAGCAGGCUCUGUUUUUUUUGUUCUACCCAGAAGCCCCGACAAGGGUUCCUAACAUAAUCACAUAUCUUGCUACCAUAUUUUGUAAAUGAGAGAACAGCCUCCCUUCCCUUCUCCUGCCAGGUAGAAACACACAGUGGCUCAUUGCUGUUGACAGUCAGAGAAUGAGAUAAUUACCCCUCUCCAGUUUUAGCUUCCUGCUCAAACUCAAGUAUUUGGUGCAAAAAAGACACAGUGUGCUAAGACACAGCCGCAUGGCUCUGAGUAGUUCCAUUUGCCUGGGAGGCUUGAGCCAGGGGCAUCUGCUCUAGUUCUGUUUCUGACGUAGCCAUUUGGGUAGGUCACUUCAUGUCUCUGAGGCUUGUACUUCUCUUUCAUAAAAUGAGGAUAUUAUAAAUAAAUGACCAGCACACUAGUGAGGAUUCAGUAAGAAAACAUACUAAGUACCCUUCGUAGUUGUUUAAGCAUUAUAUAAAUAAUUCGUUCUUAGGAGAAAAAAGUCAGCAUUUUUUAUUCUCAUCCUAGCUCUGCACUUUUGUGGGGCCUUGGGCAAGGCAUUUACAAAUCCUGCUUUGACUGUACCGUUUUUUGCCAAUUGGGAAGUGGUCUUUCCCUUUCUUGUUCCCCUUUGGCGGUUCUUCUUUUCUCUGAUGAUAUAAGGUUUAAUUGGAUGGUGUUCUGAGCUGUUUGCCAGGAAGAGAGAAAGCGUGAAGUUAUCAUCUGGAUGGGUUUGGUAAGCACUAGAUUCUCUUUCCUCUGCUUUUGACAAACAGAGUGACAGCCCAGUGCUGUGUUUAAACAAGUUAAUAUGUAUGUUCCUUGACAUAAGGAAAUGCUCUAAUCAUGAAAUACAGCUUGCAUGUCAUUUGGUUUUGAGAUUUUAUUGAGUACUACUAAUCUUGACAUAUUUUGGUUGGCACCACAUUCUUGGUAUAGUGGGUUAGCGGUUGAAUAGUUUGCAGACUUUGUGAAACAAAAUCCUCAUUUAAUGGUUUAGUUUGGCUGCAUUUUGAAAAUAUACAAAAACAUAAUGUGCAUUCAUUUUAUAGGGAUUUUUUUUUUCAACUUGUGGCUUUGCUGUUUUGUCAUUUUUCCUUUUUUUCAAUGCCCUUUCUUUUUUCUCUGUUUCUAUCUCUCCGUGUCUCAUUUUAAUAUUCCAGUUGCUGUAGCCUGCAAAGAAAGUGUCAGAGAAAGGCAGCUUGUGAACUGAUUGAACCGCAGGCAGAAGAAUCUUCUUUGUGUUGCCUGAGGUCAAGAAUGUGUUUACACGUUGGCCUAAUGCUCUCGACUUUUGGGCUUUGGGACCUCCAAAGGCUACAGUGCCAUCAUACCAAGCAGUGAAAAGUCUGAAGCGCCCCAGCAGAGCACCUGAACCAGAUGUGCAACAAGACUUCAGUCAACACCAGCCCCCAGGUCACCCAACUCCAUGACAUCAUGCCAGGCUGGAAAAGUCAACAGGCCUCUGACUCCUGGCUCAGGCCCUCCUCUCUCCUCUCUCCCUCUGUUCUCCUUUCUCCUGCCUCUUGCUGUUCCUAACCCAGGGACAAUAUUUAGAAAGCAGAGCUGGUUCAGGCAGCCCUCUCAGUUACUUUGGCUGGAACCUUCCUGAGUACAUUUUGCUAUCUCUUUGUGAUGUAAACAGGGGCACUCACAGUUGGCCAGGGAUGCUCUUUCUGCUUUAAUUACACAGGCAUAAUUAUAGUCCCAGGGUCUGGAAAAAAGCACAGAGUUCUUUGGAGAACUUCACAGAGAUUUUUCUGUUAUGACAUAGUUUAUCUGGGGGGACAAAAACAAAACAACAACAAAAAAAAUAGUAAGCCAAAAGGCAUUUCCAAAGAGGAAAUAAUAAAACAAUUCAUGCUAGCAUUCCAAUCUGUACUGAAUAGAUGACAAAAAUCAGAGGAGUCUUUUUUUGGAGGGGCAGAGAGUUGUCUCAAAAUGUUGAACUCAUGGAUAGGGUGGGAAAAUCUAGAUAAAUUCUACUGAAUGGAUGUGGGUGGAGAAGGAUAUGAAAACAAAUAUUUUUGCUUGGGAAAGCAGUAAUAAAGCAUCCGCUGCAUCCCAUUGAAUUUGUGAGUGCCCUAGCUCCCUCACCCCCAUCCUGGGGAUUAUGCACAAUGAUCCCACCAUAGUAAUAGUAGUCUGGCUUCAACUUGAGUCAUAAAAAUUCCCCUUGCCCCCAGAUGUUCAGUAAGAGGGCACUUUGUUACUCCGCUGAUGUAGCGAGAAAUCACAGAACUGCCAGGGUAAUGGAGAGAGCAGUGACAGAGGUGGAGAGAGAGGGCUGUUUCUCUGUUAUGAAACGUGUUUUUAUAGGUAAUUCUGAUGUACAGUGGAUAUUAAAUAGAGCAACUAAAAGAUGUUUUAUUUUAGAUUAGUGCUAGAGUGAUAUUUUCCCCAUGGCACUAAUAAUCUGGCAGCUUUCAAAAGCCUAUUUCCCUUCCCAGUAUCUCAGACUCUCAGCUCUGUCCUGGUGUAAGGAUAAGCCAUUGCAUUGACAAUUCUUUCUUAGAAAAGGAGAGAAUCACCUUUAUAGAUGGGUGCACGUGGUAUUUAGAAAGGAGAGACAUCGUGCUUUUGUUUAUUUGUUUUUGGUAGGAAGUAAAAUAUUAAAUAAACCCUACAUUUGCUAUUUGGAGAUACAGGGGCAACCCGCUUUCAAAGAUGCCAUUUCAACAUGGGCUUUUUGUAAUUGAGCGAUCAUUUAAAAAGCCCCUUGCUGCACGUGUGCCUUUUGGAAUCCAGGGGCGCACCAGUUUGGUCUUACAUCCUGGUUGUCGGCCGCAUGCAGGAUGUACAAUCCUUGUUUAAUUGUGUUGUUCUUACAGACUUCAAGGGCUGUCACAGGAACAACAGAGGCCUGUUGUUGAAACCACAUCGUUUCCAUCACAGUGGGGAAAAAAACAAGGUCAUUGUGGGCUUGCAGCAUUGUUAAGGUUUUGAGCCUGCCCCAAUUAUUUUAUUCAUGUUAAAAUUUAAGGAGAUGAGAAACAUAUUGAAGAGAGGACAGAAGUUAAUUUACAUCUGCCACUUCCCCCUCUGCAAUAUUUAAAUGCCUGUCACUCUCCCACCCCUUUUAGCUGAAGGGGGAGUCCUUUCAGCCAAGCCCCCUCCCCCUCUACUGUUUUUUCUUUUUCUUUUUUUUUCAAUUUGUUAAGAUGGUGAAAUCUGCUUUGUGUGAUUUAUGAAGGAACUUGAAGCGAUUAGUUUCACAGUGCAUGAAAAUUCCUCAGGUUCAGGGGGGAUGGCCAAUCUGUUACACUGUUUGCCGUGGACUGGAUGGGAACUUGAGCAGCUCGGAGCCAUAAGGAGAUUGUGUUGAGUUAUUAAACACUUGUGGUAAAGCUGCUUAUUGUUAAUUCCCUGAUGUCCUGCUGAAGCGAUAGGAUAAAAUCAGAUCGGAUUAGAUCAAAGAGCCUGGGAGCCAGCCUUUGGAGCAGAUUCAUUUAGUCAAUAA
rnacentral:lncRNA from 1 species